GAUCAAAAAAGAACCCCAAAGUGCCAACAUUAGUAUCGAGCAUGGCAGCUAACAGGAUUGGUGUUCUGUUUUUACUCCUCAUUUGCGGCAUGAUUCUAUCGGCGGCUACACCCGCGUAUGCUAGGGCUAAAGCGUGCCCUCAAUUUUGCAAAAAGGCAACGUACAUGAGAUGCAAGAAAACCGGACAUAAGAAACAGAGUCCAGCCUGCAACUGUUGUUUUGUUGCUGGGAAGGGUUGCACCAUUUACUACAGCGAUGGAACCAAAACAGUUUGCAAAAAAGUAAAAUAAAACGGAAGGAGACACGUCCCUGCAGACCGGUGCGCGUAGCUGCUUUUAUUUUUGUGAAAAUAAAAGAACCUCUUGCCAAUUGAGAAAGUAUGACUAGUUGUUUUCUCAGCUUCCUCUCUGUUCUUAGUAGUAGUAUUUGUGACUAUCUGUAAUAAAUUUGUAGGAGUUUUUUCCUUCAUACAUACUCCAUUUGGAGUCCGUUUUCAAACAAUUUUUUUCCCCUUUUUUUAAUCAAAUCACUUGUUAAAUCCUAUUACAACAAUAAAUCAAAUCAAGAGAUCUCAAGUAA